AGAGGGAAAGACGGGGAAGGGAAGGCGCAAUGGUGAGAGCGGAGGACGAACGGCGCAGCCAACAAUGGAAUCGUGGAGUGGGAGUGCAAUGGGAAUGAAGGAAGGAAAAAGGGCAAUUUACAGAAAUUUUACAAGCUGCACUGCAUCGCUCUGCACCUGCAUGGUUGACUCCGGGUGGAGUCUCCUCUGAAUCCCCCUUUACGUCCAGUUUGAUUCUUCCCCCUGCUCUUACAGUUUUACUACUUCUCUCGCCAUAUCUUGAUCUCUGUCCGGCCACCCCCCCACCAAUGCCUUCCUCCUCAUCUUGAUUUGACACCUUCAAUCCCUGAUACAAUUUCACCUUGAGCUGGGACAUCCCUUUUAUUUUUUGCAGAUGAAGGCUGAGUCACUUCGGAAGUGCAGUGAUCGUCUCUGUUUCUGAGGAAUAUUUAUCGUACAGUGCUCGUUUUGUUGAACUCGUCUUUAUGUCUUGGUCGCGAAGCCUUCCGUGACGCGGAUUUGAUAGCAGUUUUGCAGCUCACUGGGUAGGAGCGUUCUUCACGCUCAUGGUUUCAGUUUGGAUGUUGUCGCUGGCUUUAGAUUGCCUUUGGACGAUGACUCAAUUCGGUGAAAAUUCGAUAAGUUGCGUUUCGUAGUGAGCAGUCUCCCAGAGGAAUCUGCCAUUGUGUAGCGAGGUGUAGGAUCAUGGGGUGGUCGGUAAGCGGGUUGACCCACAAGGUCCUUGGAGCAGUGGGGCUGAUGAAGUACGGCAAUCAGCGCAAGGCCUCUACCCCCAGCAUCUUCAGCCAUGCAUACAGCAGCGGAAUGUUGCCGGCUCUUGGAUCCAACCAGAGUACGAAGAACGUCCUUCAAAAGAAAUACGUUAUUCAUCCUUACAACAAGAAUUACAGGUACUGGCAGGGGAUUUUGGUGGUGCUAGUGUUUUACUCCGCAUGGGUGUCACCUUUCGAGUUUGGGUUCGUGCAAAAUCCUCGCGGUGCUCUGUUAACUGUCGACAAUAUUGUCAACUUUCUCUUCUUCAUCGACAUCGUAUUGACCUUCUUCGUCGCGUAUCUCGACACCUCAACUUUUUUGAUGGAAGACAACUUGAAGAAGAUCGCCAUCAGGUAUUUGAGAACAUGGUUUAUUUUGGAUGUUGUGUCGACUGUUCCAUUGGCCGCAGUAAUAGCGAUUUUCACUGGAAAAUAUGAGACAGGGUUUGCGGCCAGUUUUGUCAAUUUGUUGCGCCUCUGGCGAUUGCGCCGUGUGAGUGACGUGUUUGCGAGGGUGGAGAAGAAUGUGAAAUUUAGUUACUUCUGGACUCGAUGCCUCAAACUCUUUCUGGUGACUGUGUUUGUUUGCCACUUUGCGGCCUGCUCGUACUACUUAUUGGCUGCUCGACAUCCGGCAAGCAAAGAGGCAGAUACGUGGCUAGGAGCUGUGCUCCCAAAUUUUAAAGAGGAGUCACUGUGGGCGCGGUACGUGACGAGUAUGUACUGGUCCAUCACUACACUGGCGACUGUGGGAUAUGGCGAUUUGCAUCCAGUCAACCGUGGUGAAAUGAUCUUCACCAUCCUUUACAUGUUGCUGAAUCUGGCAUUGACUGCGUACAUCAUAGGAAACAUGACCAAUCUCAUCACUCGUCUUACCGCACGAACUCGUGACUAUCGUGACUCGGUGCAACAAUUGGUGGAGUUUGCAACUAGAAAUCAGUUGCCACGCAAGCUUCACGAGCAAAUGAUCUCCCACGUGCAGCUCAAGUUCAAGACAGAGAGCCUUCAGCAUCAAGGGACCAUAGCCACCCUACCAAAGGCUAUCCGCUCAUCUGUUGCGCAAUUUCUGUUUUUUAACACAGUCGAGAAAGUAUACCUUUUCCAAGGCACUUCUUACAAUUUUCGUACUCAGCUGGUGUCGGAGAUGAAGGUCGAGUUCUUCCCUCCUCGCGAGGAAAUUAUUCUGGUUAACGAGGCCCCCUCCGAGUUUUACAUAGUUGUGAAUGGUUCCGCGGAUGUAAUAAUUCGAAGGGAGGAAGCCGGAUCAGAGCAAAUUCUAAUGACGGCUCAGGCAACUGAUGUAAUUGGCGAGAUAGGGGUGAUUUGUUACAGGCCACAGCCUUUCACUGUGCGAAGUCGAAAGUUAUCCCAGCUCUUGCGACUUGACCGCAUUGUGUUUAUGAACAUUGUGCAACAAUACAAGGAAGACGGCCAGAAGAUUGUUGACAAUCUGUUGCAGCGCUUGCGAGAAGCCUAUGAUCCUCGAUUUGAGGAGCUUUCCUCUGAGAUUGAAGCCCUCCUUGUUGAAGGCGGCGAAAUAUCGGAACCAAGCGUAUGUGCGGUUGCUGCCGGAGGAAAUGUGGAGGUUAUGCAGCAGCUGUUGAGCAAAGGCGCGGAGGUGGACAAGACAGAUUAUCACGGUCGGACUGCUCUGGUCAUUGCAUCAUCAAAAGGUUACGAGGAGUGCGUCAAGCUCCUUCUGGAACACGGAGCUGACCCCAACAAGGCUGAUGUGUAUGGGAAGGUUCCUCUACUUGAGGCCCUUAUUGCCCGCGACACGGCUACCGUGAAGCUCUUAUCAGAGAACGGGGCGACCUUGAAAAAUGCGGACAUGGGGGUAUACCUCGGGCAAGCUGUGCUCGACUGUAAUCGAGACCUCAUUGACGACUACUUAAAAUAUGGAACCGACAUAAACACAGCAGGCGAAUCUGAAGGACUGAGUGCGCUCCACAUUGCUGUUAUUGAUGGCAACAUGGAUAUGGUGAGGUUUUUAGUAUCCCGAGGAGCCGACCCUCACAUCAAGCCUGGUGAUGAGGCCACCCUUACCGCAUACGAGCUAGCUGAGAGAAGUGCAGAUCACCCCGAAAUAGCUUCCUUUUUGAAGGCCCAAUCAGUCCGCGAUGAACCAUACAGUUCCAUCACGCCUAGAGAGUCGACAUCUAACGCAAAUCAGAAGAGGCUUCCAAGGAAGGGAAGCUCCAAUGUUGAAUUCCAGAUUGAUGAGGUAACACCCCCGCCUAGUCCAAAUAAAGGAUUUUCCGGAGAGCGAACGAUACACUCAUUAAUGCGAAAGCAGUCGGCUCGGGGCCGUCUCAUGACUAUAAGAGGACAGAAAACCCUCAGCCGGCAACUAAACGCAAACCAGAACCCUUCAGGUUGGGGCUUGAGACGGCGUGACAAUCGAGACCCUCUUCAGACUUUUCCAUCAGCUGGCGCUGCUAAGGAGGUUCCUCUUCGUGUCAUCAUCCAUUCUUAUCAUCCUUGGAACAAGGAAGCGGUGGGACUUGGAAAGGUCGUUUUGCUGCCGAAAACUAUUGAAGAGGUUCUCAAGAUUGCGAGAGAUUGCAGACGAGAAAUUCAACAAUCAUCCAACGAAGGUGUUGAACAAAGAGGCAGCUGAGAUUGACGACUUGAGUGUCAUCCGAGAAAACGACAACUUGUAUGUCAUUAACGAUUCAGAGAAGUUGAACACGAGUUCCCCCCCAGGGAUGGACACAGAUGACCUCAUAGCAAGAUUGCAAGCAAUAGUCACAGCAUUGUCUCAACCCAAACCAUAGACUCAUGCAUGCGACCAAGGUUGGGUAUGUACUUCUCAUAAGCUUAGGACUCGACUUAGGAUAUCACGAGAUCAGCGACAGUGUCUGAAUUUUAAAAAGUUGUCUGAUGACGUAUUCCCUUGCAAACAUAUGAACAAGAAUAUGCCAACGGUUUAUCAUUGUCAUUUGGAUUAAUCUUCCGGUGUAUCAAUAGCAGUGAUUCGUUUCUCAGUUUAUCAA